CGGGGGGGGCAAGCGUUGUCGGAAUUACUGGGCGUAAAGGGCUCGUAGGUGGCCAACUAAGUCGGACGUGAAAUCCCUCGGCUUAACCGGGGAACUGCGUCCGAUACUGGUUGGCUUGAGUUUGGGAGAGGGAUGCGGAAUUCCAGGUGUAGCGGUGAAAUGCGUAGAUAUCUGGAGGAACACCGGUGGCGAAGGCGGCAUCCUGGACCAAUACUGACGCUGAGGAGCGAAAGCCAGGGGAGCAAACGGGAUUAGAUACCCCGGUAGUCCUGGCCCUAAACGAUGAAUGCUUGGUGUGGCGGGUAUCGAUCCCUGCCGUGCCGAAGCUAACGCAUUAAGCAUUCCGCCUGGGGAGUACGGUCGCAAGGCUG
rnacentral:rRNA from 1 species